rnacentral:misc_RNA from 1 species
AGUCCAGGUUCGUUGCAAGCUUGUUUGUUCACUCACUCACACGCUCUCUCUCUCACACCUCGCCGGAGACUCGAGGUCAAUGGCAUCGAAGUUUCCAUUUUUACAUAUAGCUGGUUCUCCGCUGCCAAAGCCUGAGAUUCAACGGUCACUUUUCUGUUCCCGCCAAAAUGCCCUUGUAGUCUCACCAACCAUCGUCGCACCAACACUCGUAAGUUCAUCAUCAUCUUUUUCAUUAGCUAAUAAUGGCAAUAACAAUAGUAGCCGAACAUUUCUGUCUCCGCAAUUGUAUCCAAAAGACCCAAGUUCGCUCCGAUCUGUAGCUGUCAGAUCCAAUUUGAGUUUUCCUCUUAUUUCUCCCAACGAUCGAUGGGGCACCUGGACCGCUCUCUGCGCAACCGGCGCUUUUGGUAUCUGGUCGGAGAAGACCAAGAUUGGAAGUGCGUUGAGCGGUGCGCUAGUGAGCACCUUAGUUGGACUUGCAGCUAGCAAUUUGAGGAUCAUUUCGUGUGAAUCUCCGGCUUACUCUAUUGUUUUGGAGUUUCUGCUCCCUUUGGCAGUUCCAUUGUUGCUGUUCAGAGCGGACAUGCGUCGUGUGAUUCAGUCCACUGGGACACUUCUCUCGGCUUUCUUGCUAGGAUCAGUUGCUACAACAGUUGGGACAUUGUUGGCAUAUUGGAUUGUGCCAAUGCGAUCACUUGGUGAGGAUAGUUGGAAAAUAGCAGCUGCUCUCAUGGGAAGACACAUUGGCGGAGGUAAUUUUGUUUCAAGAUUUUAAGACUUGUUUCAGGAGCUAUAGGUAUUUGUCGGUCACUGUACUUCAGCCCCACCCCAGAACCACUCUCAUCUGUUUUCUCCAUGCUCUUCAUCAAUCAUGAUGACUUUCAGUUUUGACAUUGUGUAGCUGUCAAUUAUGUUGCCAUUGCGAAUGCUCUUGAAAUGUCUUCAUCAGUUUUAGCUUCUGGACUAGCUGCAGAUAAUGUUAUUUGUGCAAUGUAUUUUACAACAUUGUUUGCGUUGGCAUCUAAAAUACCGCCUGAGUCUUCAACAGAAACUAAUGGUGAGACAAAUUCUAACUUCGUGUUUGUGGAUGAAUUGUUGUUUUCAGUUCUCUCAUAUUUCACUAAUGAAACAUUUAAGUCCUUUCUACAAAGACUAGUGUUACAAAACGUAGUGGGCAUUUUUUUUAUUCAGUUUCUGGCCUGCUUCAUUUUGAUGGUUUUAUGAAGCCAGUGACUUUGGCCAUGAAUUAAUUUGGCUUUCCCAAUUUCUUUCAUCAUUCUUUUGUUACAAUAUGUCCUUUCCUUAUGUAGUUGUGAACUUGUGAUGACUUUGACGACAUGAUUAUUGGAUUGUACUCUAGCAGAUGCUCAGAUGGAGAGUGGGUCUGAACCUAGCAACAACCUUCCUGUUCUACAGCUCGGUACUGCCCUUGCAGUGUCCUUUGCCAUCUGCAAGGCUGGUUCUUACGUGACAAAGUUUUUUCAGAUUCAAGGAGGUAUCCUGCCAGCUGUAACAGCCAUUGUUGUUGUCUUAGCAACUGCAUUUCCAACCCCUUUUAAUUACCUUGCACCAUCUGGAGAGGCUAUAGCUUUGAUUCUGAUGCAGGUAUUUUUCACUGUGGUGGGUGCAAGUGGAAACAUAUGGCAUGUGAUUAAAACAGCGCCCAGCAUUUUCCUGUUUGCUCUUGUACAGAUUACCAUCCAUCUGGUGGUGAUCCUUGGAUUGGGAAAGCUAUUUCGCUUUGACCUAAGGCUAUUGCUUUUGGCAUCAAAUGCUAAUGUCGGAGGCCCUACAACCGCAUGUGGAAUGGCCACGGCCAAAGGGUGGAGAUCCUUGGUUGUUCCUGGUAUUCUUGCUGGCAUUUUUGGAAUCGCCAUUGCAACUUUUCUUGGAAUUGAUUUUGGAAGGAGGUUUCUGAAAUUCAUGUAAAUUUUUUAAAUUUCUAAAGUUCACUAAUGCUGUACUCUCUAUUUGCAC